rnacentral:rRNA from 1 species
CCAAGUACCCCUGGGUGGGUGUGCUCGGGCCCGGCCAUCCUUCUGUAAACUUUCGCGCGUCCUUCACCGGUCGGCAAAGGGAUCAGAUAAUUUACCUUGAGAAAAUUAGAGUGUUUCAGGCAGGCUUAGCCGGAAUACAUUAGCAUGGAAUAAUGGAGUAGGACUGAGGUCUCGUUGUUGGUUACGCGGACUACAGUAAUGAUUAAUAGGGACAGUUGGGGGCAUUAGUAUUUAAUAGCUAGAGGUGGAAUUCUCUAAUUUGUUAAAGACUAACUUAUGCGAAAGCAUUUGCCAAGGAU